UACGAAGGGGGCUAGCGUUGCUCGGAAUUACUGGGCGUAAAGCGCACGUAGGCGGAUUGUUAAGUCGGGGGUGAAAUCCUGGAGCUCAACUCCAGAACUGCCUUCGAUACUGGCAGGCUAGAGUGCGGUAGAGGGUAGUGGAAUUCCCGGUGUAGCGGUGAAAUGCGUAGAGAUCGGGAGGAACACCAGUGGCGAAGGCGGCUACCUGGACCAGCACUGACACUGAGGCACGAAAGCGUGGGGAGCAAACAGG
rnacentral:rRNA from 1 species